rnacentral:siRNA from 1 species
ACCUUAGAUCAUUUUACCUACCC